AGUUGUAGGCUUUGCCUGCUAUCUCUUACCCAUGUCUUUUGAGUACCUUCGUUUCCUCGGCGGGUUCGCCCGCCGAUUGGACAAUUUAAACCAUUUGCAGUUGCAAUCAGCGUCUGAAAAAACAUAAUAGUUACAACUUUCAACAACGGAUCUCUUGGUUCUGGCAUCGAUGAAGAACGCAGCGAAAUGCGAUAAGUAGUGUGAAUUGCAGAAUUCAGUGAAUCAUCGAAUCUUUGAACGCACAUUGCGCCCCUUGGUAUUCCAUGGGGCAUGCCUGUUCCAGCGUCAUUUGUACCUUCAAGCUCCGCUUGGUGUUGGGUGUUUGGCUCACCUCUGCGUGUAGACUCGCCUCACAAAAAUUGACAGCCGGCGUAUUGAUUUCGGAGCGCAGUACAUCUCGCGCUUUGCACUCAGAACGACGACGUCCAAAAGUACAUUUUUACACUCUUGACCUCGGAUCAGG
rnacentral:rRNA from 1 species